GUUAAAAAUGAGAGGAGGAGAUAAGGUUGAGGAGGAGAGAGGAGUUAAAGGAGAGGAGGAGGUACCUCGAUCCGAUCGUGCACACCUCUCCGAUCUCCGCGUCGAUCUUUACUCCCGGUUGGUUUUACCAACCGGGACUAUAAAUAGAUCUUUAGUCCCGGUUGGUGUUACCAACCGGGAGUAAAGCGUAUGGCGAUCUUUUUUCCCGGUUGAUGUUAUCAAUCAGGACUACAAAUAGAUCUUUAGUCCCGGUUGGUAACACCAACCGGUACUAAAGAUUGAAAAGUAUCCUGUAGCUUUUAAACCGGGACUAAAGAUAUUUUUAGUCCUGGUUUUUAAUACAACCGGGACUAUUGUAAAAUCUGGUCGACCGACCAAAGAUGGUUUCUCCACCAGUGAAGAUAACAAUGCCUACCUAAUACCGAGGUUUCCCAAAUCGCCGGGGCGCGGUAGGGUUACCGCGCCCCGGCGGUAAGCACAGUUACCGCGCGAUAACCACGGUAACCGUAAAAAACCGUACAAAACCGUGCAAAAUUUAUCAAAAAUUCAAAUUAUUUUUUAAAUUUAUUUGAAUUAAAGGAGGUUACCGCGGUAUUUAUAUUACCGUACCCCCGCGGUAAGCCCGGUAACCGCGCGGUUAUCGGCGGUAAGGUAAACCCUGCCUAAUACACACCGCAUGUAAUACAAACUACAAAUUAAAGCCUGCCCGACCAUUGCAUCGAGAUUUGGGCCAUGAACUCGGCCCAAUAACUAUUUUAAAUGGUAUAAGUUCACUUUGACUCUCUUAACUAGAGUGCGAAUAUGAUUUGAGCCAAUUUCGUUUAUUCCCUUACUUUCAUCUCCAAUAUUAAUUUUACCCCUACUUUUAAGGGUUUUCGUUUUUACCCACACUUUUUUGAACCGAACAAUCUUUUUGCCCCUAUUUUAGAUGGAGCAGUUAACGGUGUUAACUUUUUAUCAAAAGGACAUUUAUACCCCCUCUCCCAUAUUUAUUCACUCAUUGUGUUUUUGCCCCCAAUUAUCCUCCAGUUUACAUAUAAACGCAUAAUAAGGGUGAAGUAAAUCAAGAUUAUUGUGCCAUUCUUCCCAAAUCCCAACAGGAGUAAAGAUUUGGUAAUAAGCUGACGUGGUUGGAGCAGCAAGCUGCAGCUUGUUUGGUUCAACCUCGUUUUCUUGUUCUUGAUGUUGUCAGGAACAUCUGGGGUGGUAGGCGUCACCUCGAACGGCUGGGAGAGUGGGAGGACGAGCCGGCGAACUGGCUGAAGCCCAGCUGCCGGCCGGAGAUGACCAGCUUGGGCGGCGCGAAUGGCCCGAACUCGACGGCAGCUGGCCUGCUGGCACUGCCCUUCUUCUUCCCUGGCUUGGCCUGCCGAUCAGCACGAGGAGCUUGAGCACCUCGUCCGUCUCCAGCCUGCACCGCGGUGGCGCCUUGUUGCCGGCGUCGGCAGAUGAUGCAGCGGCAGCGCCGCCUACGAACGCCGAAGGUGGAAGCGAAGCCACCGUUCGGCCAACACCCUCUCGGCCGCCGCCGCCUAGCCCUCUCCCCGCCGCCGCCUAUCCCUCUCCCCGCCGCUCGCUCCCCGCCGCCAGGCAGCCACCCGCUCCCCACCACCUAGCCGCCACUCCCCGCCACCUACCCUUCCCCUGCUCGCCGGUGGGAGGAGCUGCAUUCCCCGUGACAUUGAGUCACUGACGUGUGGGGCCCAUGUGGGUCCAGGCACAUGUAGGUCCCACAUGUCAGUGACUCAAUGUCACCGAGAAUGUCACGAGAGAAUAUCACUGGAUCUGCGUUCCACCCUAGCUGCCGCCGCCGCUUGGUAGAAUCGCGAGAAGAAAGAGGAAUCGUGAAGACUCUCUCCUCUGUUAGUAGAUAUUUGCUAGGGGUAAAAAGGUAACACACAAAUUCGAAAAAAAAUUAUUUCCUUUACUUCUCUAGUUUUUUACUGCCAUAUACUCGGUCCCACUAACUUCCAUCCAAACCAGGGGUAAACGGAUUGUUCGGUUAAAAAAAGUGGGGGCAAAAACGAAAACCCUAAAAGGUAGGAGUAAAAUCAAUAUUGGAGAAGAAAGUGAGGGUAGAAACGAAAUUAUCCCAUAUGAUUUGUAUCCCUGAACCACAAUACCAGAUAUCUCGACCCCUUAACUAUUAAAACCGGUGGAAUCUGACUUCCUCUGUGGUUUUAGAUGGUUGUUUCGCUGACGUGGCGCCUACAUGGCAGUGUUGAUCUAGUCUUCAUUUCACGUUGUCGACGUUUGAUGUCUCGACUACGGUAUUUGCAUGGCAUGGGGAUCAUUGGUACUAGGGUAUACGCGAGACUGAGGUAAAAGAGAUGGAGACGAGGAUUUUUAUACAGGUCGGGCCCCUGAAUUGUUAGGUAAUAACCCUAUAUCCUGUUGGCCGAAGCCGGUAUUGCUCUUAUUCAUGAUAAUCACACCAGUACAAUAUUUGGGGUAGCCUAUCUAACUAUUGUCGACAUGGCGGUCUGACGAUCUGACUCGUAGUCGACAACAGGGUAGCCUUUCUCCUCGAAUCCGUGCCCGGCGAGAUCAGAGAUAGCGCUUUCGUCUCUCCUGACAGUAUCCGGAGACACCGUAGGAUACUAGCCGUGCUUAUCCCUGAAGUCGAUAUCCGGCGGCGUGUCUUGGCGUAUGUAGGCUUUUAUGUUGUGGCUUCUAUGUCGAUUGUGUUGGGUGUUCCUCGUCCUCCUCUCCUCCUAGGGGGGCAUGUAUUUAUACCCAUAGGUGUCCCCUUGUUCAAGUAGAACUAGGGAAACCAAUAUGGAUACAUUCCGAGUAGUCCUUGUCGUUUCCAUGUAGAACUCUGGUUGUCUUUCCUUGUCCGGAACUCCUCCUAUAUUUGCAUGUUGUUUCCGUAUAGGAUAUGGUAUGUGG
rnacentral:sRNA from 1 species